rnacentral:rRNA from 1 species
CUAACACAUGCAAGUCGAGCGGCACCCUGCUUCGGCAGGAAGCGAGCGGCGAACGGCUGAGUAACACGUGACCAACCUGCCCUGCGCACGGGGACAGCCGCGGGAAACCGCGGGUGAUACCCGGUGGCCCCCUGGGACCGCAUGGCCCCAGGGGCAUAGCUCCGGCGGCGCGGGAUGGGGUCGCGGCCCAUCAGGUAGUUGGUAGGGUGACGGCCUACCAAGCCGACUACGGGUAGCCGGGUUGAGAGACCGACCGGCCAGAUUGGGACUGAGACACGGCCCAGACUCCUACGGGAGGCAGCAGUGGGGAAUCUUGCGCAAUGGGGGGAACCCUGACGCAGCGACGCCGCGUGCGGGAUGGAGGCCUUCGGGUCGUGAACCGCUUUCAGCAGGGACGAGACUGACGGUACCUGCAGAAGAAGCCCCGGCUAACUACGUGCCAGCAGCCGCGGUAAUACGUAGGGGGCGAGCGUUAUCCGGAUUCAUUGGGCGUAAAGCGCGCGUAGGCGGCCGCGCAGGCGGGGGGUCAAAUCCCGGGGCUCAACCCCGGGCCGCCCCCCGAACCGCGCGGCUUGGGUCCGGCAGGGGAGGGUGGAACGCCCGGUGUAGCGNUGGAAUGCGCAGNUAUCGGGCGGAACACCGGUG